UUCAAGUGCAAAUAUUUCUUGUACCAUGACAACAGAUUGGGCUGUUAAUGACUGCAUAGAUUGGGUAAACAUUGUUUCCCCCUAAAUGGAUAUGAUCUAAUAUGUGGUGGGGACAGGUAUGCUUCAUACUUGAUGACUUGUAUAGAAUGGUUCUUUUUUUGAGAAUCUACUGCCAUGCUGUAACUGUUAUAGGGUGAGCAGACAUCUUGCCUUCAUUGUGGGGACAUUUAAACUUUUCCUAAUGCAGACUGAUGUUGAUGGGAAAAUACAGUUCUCUUGCUACACGGCAGUUAGUAUUCAGAUACCUUGGAUGGUGUGAGUUAACACCCUCCUUGUCAAAAUGUGUAGUACUUUCACACUUAUUUUAAAAUCAUAUUUUUCUUAUUCUAUAAAGGAUACCUAAAGGACUGUCUCGAUCCAUAUGAACCUACCUAGAUUUUAAGAUUAUCAUCUCAGGCUCUGCUCUGUGGUUUAUAUUUAAAUCAGACCUGUUGGAUAGAUGAAGAAUAUUCCCUGAGUUUCUCCUUCUGUCGCCCAUGCCAACUGCUUCAAGAAUCGCUUGCUCUGCAUUUCAAUAACCAGAGAUGAAUGGAGGCAGAAGAGAUCAUCAGGUCAGAAGCCUCUGGGAUGCAAAAGCACCAAUGGUCCCAUUCCAAAAAUGCACAAAGGCUAUUUUCCUUGCUAUUCAGACACAGGGACAUCUCUUCAUAAAGUAAUGUCUUGGUCAAGAAGUUUGCCAUCAUAUGAGUGUUUCUCAUGAGCUCACAGUGCUGUCUGUGCAUCCGAAUGAAAAAUGCUUCCAAACAUUUCCUAGGAGAAAAAAAAAAGAUUUGGGUUAGAGUAACUGAUGCUGAGAAUACUAGUAACAGGCCAGAAAUGUACUAAGAAGAAUGAGCGCUCAGACAUUUCACUUAUUACCACAUUUUUCUUUUAACUUACCUCUUCUAAGUUUUGAAAUUCAGCGCUGCUGUCUUCCAAUGAUUCAUCAGAGAUAGAGACUUCUAUCUGACUUGACCUCUGUAUGGAAGCAUGACAAAUCACCAGUUAUUGUUUGCAAGCUAAAAAACGUGAUAAUGUUGCUAGUCAGCCAUUUAUUUGUUUAAAACCAAAGGUCAGCACAAGACU